rnacentral:rRNA from 1 species
AAAACUCUAAGCGGUGGAUCACUCGGCUCAUGGGUCGAUGAAGAACGCAGCAAACUGUGCGUCAUCGUGUGAACUGCAGGACACAUGAACAUCGACAUUUUGAACGCAUAUCGCAGUCCAUGCUGUUAUGUACUUUAAUUAAUUUUAUAGUGCUGCUUGGACUACAUAUGGUUGAGGGUUGUAAGACUAUGCUAAUUAAGUUGCUUAUAAAUUUUUAUAAGCAUAUGGUAUAUUAUUGGAUAAAAUAUAAUAAUUUUUAUUCAUAAUAUUAAAAAAUAAAUGAAAAACAUUAUCUCACAUUUGAAUGUGAAAAACGAAGAGAAAUAUUUUCUUUUUCAAUCAAAUAAUACUGAGAAAUGUCUAGCAUAAAAAAUUGAAAUAUUUUUCAUCUAGAAUUGUCUCUUAUUAAUGAUUCGGAAAUAGAAAAAUCUUGGUUAUGUUAUUAUUCUUCGUUGGUUCGUUAAAAAUGGAUAAAUAAAAACUUUGCAUACAAGAAUUAAUAAAAAUGUUAUAACGAAUUUAAUUAAAUGUUUUAUCAUUAUAUAUAAAGAAUUUAUGGCAAGAUAAAGUUAUAUACAACCUCAACUCAUAUGGGACUACCCCUGAAUUUAAGCAUAUUAAUUAGGGGAGGAAAAGAAACUAACAAGGAUUUUCUAGUAGCGGCGAGCGAAAAGAAAAACAGUUCAGCACUAAGUCACUUUGUCUAUAUGGCAAAUGUGAGAUGCAGUGUAUGGAGCGUCAAUAUUCUAGUAUGAGAAAUUAACGAUUUAAGUCCUUCUUAAAUGAGGCCAUUUACCCAUAGAGGGUGCCAGGCCCGUAUAACGUUAAUGAUUACUAGAUGAUGUUUCCAAAGAGUCGUGUUGCUUGAUAGUGCAGCACUAAGUGGGUGGUAAACUCCAUCUAAAACUAAAUAUAACCAUGAGACCGAUAGUAAACAAGUACCGUGAGGGAAAGUUGAAAAAGAACUCUGAAUAGAGAGUUAAACAGUACGUGAAACUGCUUAGAGGUUAAGCCCGAUGAACCUGAAUAUCCGUUAUGGAAAAUUCAUCAUUAAAAUUGUAAUAUUUAAAUAAUAUUAUGAGAAUAGUGUGCAUUUUUUUCCAUAUAAGGACAUUGUAAUCUAUUAGCAUAUAACCAAAUUUAUCAUAAAAUAUAACUUAUAGUUAUUCCAAUUAAAUUGCUUGCAUUUUAACACAGAAUAAAUGUUAUUAAUUUGAUAAAGUGCUGAUAGAUUUAUAUGAUUACAGUGCGUUAAUUUUCGGAAUAUAUAAUGGCAUAAUUAUCAUUGAUUUUUGUGUGUUUAUUUAUAUGUCACUUGUAUGAUUAACAAUGCGAAAGAUUCAGCGAUACCUUCGGGACCCGUCUUGAACACGGACCAAGGAGUCUAACAUAUGUGCAAGUUAUUGGGAUAUAAACCUAAUAGCGUAAUUAACUUGACUAAUAAUGGGAUUAGUUUUUUAGCUAUUUAUAGCUAAUUAACACAAUCCCGGGGCGUUCUAUAUAGUUAUGUAUAAUGUAUAUUUAUAUUAUUUAUGCCUCUAACUGGAACGUACCUUGAGCAUAUAUGCUGUGACCCGAAAGAUGGUGAACUAUACUUGAUCAGGUUGAAGUCAGGGGAAACCCUGAUGGAAGACCGAAACAGUUCUGACGUGCAAAUCGAUUGUCAGAAUUGAGUAUAGGGGCGAAAGACCAAUCGAACCAUCUAGUAGCUGGUUCCUUCCGAAGUUUCCCUCAGGAUAGCUGGUGCAUUUUAAUAUUAUAUAAAAUAAUCUUAUCUGGUAAAGCGAAUGAUUAGAGGCCUUAGGGUCGAAACGAUCUUAACCUAUUCUCAAACUUUAAAUGGGUAAGAACCUUAACUUUCUUGAUAUGAAGUUCAAGGUUAUGAUAUAAUGUGCCCAGUGGGCCACUUUUGUAAGCAGAACUGGCGCUGUGGAUGAACCAAACGUAAUGUUACGGUGCCCAAAUUAACAACUCAUGCAGAUACCAUGAAAGGCGUUGGUUGCUUAAAACAGCAGGACGGUGAUCAUGGAAGUCGAAAUCCGCUAAGGAGUGUGUAACAACUCACCUGCCGAAGCAACUAGCCCUUAAAAUGGAUGGCGCUUAAGUUGUUAUACCUAUACAUUACCGCUAAAGUAGAUGAUUUAUAUUACUUGUGAUAUAAAUUUUGAAACUUUAGUGAGUAGGAAGGUACAAUGGUAUGCGUAGAAGUGUUUGGCGUAAGCCUGCAUGGAGCUGCCAUUGGUACAGAUCUUGGUGGUAGUAGCAAAUAAUCGAAUGAGACCUUGGAGGACUGAAGUGGAGAAGGUUUCGUGUGAACAGUGGUUGAUCACGAGUUAGUCGGUCCUAAGUUCAAGGCGAAAGCCGAAAAUUUUCAAGUAAAACAAAAAUGCCUAACUAUAUAAACAAAGCGAAUUAUAAUACACUUGAAUAAUUUUGAACGAAAGGGAAUACGGUUCCAAUUCCGUAACCUGUUGAGUAUCCGUUUGUUAUUAAAUAUGGGCCUCGUGCUCAUCCUGGCAACAGGAACGACCAUAAAGAAGCCGUCGAGAGAUAUCGGAAGAGUUUUCUUUUCUGUUUUAUAGCCGUACUACCAUGGAAGUCUUUCGCAGAGAGAUAUGGUAGAUGGGCUAGAAGAGCAUGACAUAUACUGUUGUGUCGAUAUUUUCUCCUCGGACCUUGAAAAUUUAUGGUGGGGACACGCAAACUUCUCAACAGGCCGUACCAAUAUCCGCAGCUGGUCUCCAAGGUGAAGAGUCUCUAGUCGAUAGAAUAAUGUAGGUAAGGGAAGUCGG